rnacentral:rRNA from 1 species
GGCUCAGGAUGAACGCUAGCGGCAGGCUUAAUACAUGCAAGUCGUGGGGCAGCAUGAGUAGCAAUACUUGAUGGCGACCGGCAAACGGGUGAGGAACACGUACACAACCUUCCUUCAAGCGGGGAAUAGCCCAGAGAAAUUUGGAUUAAUACCCCAUAAUAUAUUUGAUAAGGCAUCUUAUUAAUAUUAAAGCUUCGGCACUUGAUGAUGGGUGUGCGGCUGAUUAGAUAGUUGGCGGGGUAACGGCCCACCAAGUCUACGAUCAGUAGCUGAUGUGAGAGCAUGAUCAGCCACACGGGCACUGAGACACGGGCCCGACUCCUACGGGAGGCAGCAGUAGGAAUAUUGGACAAUGGACGAAAGUCUGAUCCAGCCAUGCCGCGUAAAGGAUUAAGGUCCUCUGGAUUGUAAACUUCUUUUAUAUGGGACGAAAAAAGGGCAUUCUUGUUCACUUGACGGUACCAUAUGAAUAAGCACCGGCUAACUCCGUG